GACACCUUGCCAUAUUUUUUAGCUCUGGUUCCAUUAUAGUAGAGCUGCAGAAAAGUAUUGAGGAAAUAGCAUUGAGAGAACUAUUCUAUUAGCUGCCUGUUUCCACACACCCUUCUUGUCCUCUCAUGUGACUAAUUGUUCUGGGAGUUUGGCAGGUCAUAUUUCUCAUCCUUGCUUUUACACUUUAUCUUGGUUAUUUACACUACUCAAGGCUGGUGCUGAAGGUCAUGUCUUCCAUUUUUAGACUGUAAACAAUUUAUGCAGUGAGAAGUUAUAAAAGACAGACAGAUCCCAGGGAUACCUUUUCUGAACCUCAUUGUACAUUAAGCUUGGGAAGCUGCUAAACCCACCUGUCAUAGAUCCAACCUUCUGCUCAGCUAUACUUCUCAGAAAAAAGGAAUAUAAGCUGUGAAUAGUCAAGAACUUCUUGUAUAGAUGAAAAACGAAGAGGAGAGGUAAACAAUUUCCCCAAGAUCACUAUGUACUGACACAGUGGAAUCUAUAAGCUUGAAGUUGGGAAAAGAAACAGGCCAUGUGAUUUGUACAUCUUCCAUGUUUCCAGGUGACGGUCCUCCUCGGAGGCUGCAGAGAUCUUAUAGGACUGGUGCUUGCCUUCAACCACCCUUCCAUCCCCAUCCGUCUUGCAAGCUUUGAUCUUCUGCCCUUUGCAGUUUGCAUUGAAGAGCUCAAAGCAAUUCUGAGAGGAAAAAUGUGGAAAGCAGUAAGAAUCAGCAAUUCUACUAUCUCCAAUAUCUGAUAUGUAUGUGCACAUCUCUUUUGAGAUGCAGGUGAGAAACAUCCUGGAUCUCUCUAUGACCCAGGACAAAGAUCCUAAAGAGAUUUCAUUUACACUGACCAGGAUAGCUGGGGAUGAUAGGAUUGCUAAUCCAAUACAUCUGGAAGAGGAUGAUAGUUUGCACACUUGUUUCAUUUACGUGUGACUUACAUAUUACAACUGGUUUCACCUAGCCUGCCAUUUAUGGACUAAUAUGCAGAAUGGAAUGCAGUUAGUUAUUGCAAUUAUUAUCUUACAACAUGAGAAUUUUGUAUUUUUCCAGAUGAUGCAGCAUAGUUCCUAGACCAUCUCCAUCCAUAAAGUACCAACAUUUAUUUUACAAUGUACAUUAUGAGAAGAUAUUGGGAGCUAAUUAGAUUCAGUUCCAAUAAAAUGCUAAAUCAUGGAA